rnacentral:lncRNA from 1 species
CCGCGGCACGGCCCCGCCCCGCAGGCCCGGUAACGGCGGCUUCCUGCCGGGGGGCCGGGCGUUGGGGCUCCUCCUAAAAAUGCCGCUGUGUGAAGGCCGAGGAGGCGGUGAGCAGGUGCUGAUGAAAAAUGAAAGCUAUUUGCCGAUCGUGAAAAAUAAAGAUCAGAGGAAGAGGCUUGUCCAUGAAAUCUGCUCCUUUUUAGACAGCAGUCAGUCCCUGCAGGAAAUCGAUGCUUUGAGGACAGAAAAUAGGAAGCUUAAAAAUGCGAACUCAAGGCUGCGAUAUAAAACAAAAGAUUGGGCGAUAAGGAGAGAAGAAUAUAAAAAGAUGAAGAGUCCGAGCAUCUUAACGGCCCAGAUAAGAGAACGCCACGGGGCCAGACCAAACACGCGAGCACUCAGACAGAGGGCGCCUGCGGAGCGGAGGAAAGGUAAGGGCUGCGAAAGAGGUGCUGGUGCGGGGCUGCCGUGGCGUUGUCCUGGCCCUACAAAACUCAGAAUCUUCUUGGUCGUAACCCCUACAUCUCUUGGGACGUUGCUGAGGUGCAGCAACGGGGAAAGCGGAGGAUGUAACGUCUCACCUGCCCUUAAAACCGCUAGGUCCUGUAGUGAAAUCUCUGUCUUGCCAAAGGGAGAGGUCUGGAAAAAAGGAACCUGCUCCUGA